GCUUUGCGGCUGGAUCCCCUCCUUUCUAAGGAUGCCGGCGUUCGCCGUCGCUCAUGACGGAAAAUUCUGGCGUACCUUACAUAACUGCCGACGUCCUCGAUCCUUCGGGAGAGAGGCCCGCCGUCUCCGUAUCCCUUCCAUUUUCCUCGCCACCGCCUGCGCCGGCUCGUAACCGGAUCGGGCGUCUGGUUUUGGAGCGCUGGUCUUAAAGCGUAUGAGAUGGCUGGCUUGCCGGCCCAUCGCGGCGCAUGCUAUGUGCCGCGCCUGUGUUCAGACCGCGUCGCGCAGGGUACCGCGCGUGCGGUGUUCGGCGCAUACGGGCGGGCCUGUAGCUCAGUUGGUUAGAGCGCACCCCUGAUAAGGGUGAGGUCGGUAGUUCAAAUCUACCCAGGCCCACCAUUUUCCGCCCUUAUCGGCCGUUAGGAUGGGGCUGUAGCUCAGCUGGGAGAGCACCUGCUUUGCAAGCAGGGGGUCGUCGGUUCGAACCCGUCCAGCUCCACCAUUUCGUAUUUUUCGGCGAGGAUAUUUAGAGCGCAUAUUCGUUAGAGGAUUUCAUCCUCAUCGAUCGGCCGGUUUCGGCAUGCUUUGCCUGCCGGCGGCUCUAUGGACAUCGUGAAUCAGGUCGUGCACUGACCGAAUAUGAGCCUUUUCGGAGGCGCGCCUCAGGGCGUGUGCCGAAGAGGAUCAUGGGUCGAUUUUGCGUCGAGUGGAACCAAUGCAUCGGUUUCCGCGGGCCCGCCCUCCCCAAGGGCGUGUCGGCGGCGGCCGGGGAUGCGUCUACGCGCCUUCCCCUGUAUGCGACGGUUUCUUCGAUCAAGCGUGAGAAGGGCAUUUGGUGGAUGCCUUGGCAUCGAGAGGCGAUGAAGGACGUGGCACUCUGCGAAAAGCCGUGGGGAGGUGAGAGCAACCUUUGAUCCGCGGAUAUCCGAAUGGGGAAACCCGGAAGC
rnacentral:misc_RNA from 1 species